UACGUAGGGUGCGAGCGUUGUCCGGAAUUAUUGGGCGUAAGGAGCUCGUAGGCGGCCCGUUGCGUCGGUUGUGAAAGCCCGGGGCUUAACCCCGGGUCUGCAGUCGAUACGGGCAGGCUAGAGUUCGGUAGGGGAGAUCGGAAUUCCUGGUGUAGCGGUGAAAUGCGCAGAUAUCAGGAGGAACACCGGUGGCGAAGGCGGAUCUCCGGGCCGAUACUGACGCUGAGGAGCGAAAGCGUGGGGAGCGAACAGG
rnacentral:rRNA from 1 species